rnacentral:rRNA from 1 species
UACGGGGGGGGCAAGCGUUGUUCGGAAUCACUGGGCGUAAAGGGAGCGUAGGCGGGUUUUUAAGUCAGGUGUUUAAUCCCGGGGCCCAACCCCGGACAGGCACUUGAAACUGGGAAUCUUGAAUAGUGGAGAGGUCGGUGGAAUUGGGGGUGUAGCGGUGGAAUGCGUAGAGAUCCCCAAGAACACCCGUUGCGAAGGCGGCCGACUGGACACAUAUUGACGCUGAGGCUCGAAAGCAUGGGGAGCAAACAGG